UCCUUCUUCUUCUUGCCUCUCCUAUCGGCAACCACCACCCCCUCCACCAAAUCUCACCAUUUCCUUCCAUCUACUCCCUCUAUCUUCGUGUCUUCCUCUUUCGACCAAGCAGUCGCUCGCCUCUUCCUUCCCUAUCUUGUGUCUUUCUUCAUCCGGCGGCUUGCAAUGAACGGAGCAGUGAUUGGCAUCCUCUCUUGUCGACAAUAACAGUUCGGCCAACAGCGGCGUCUUUUGCUCUUCCUCCGUCAGCAACGAAGCAGCGGGCCUCAGUAAUGGCGGUGUCCAUCUCUUCUGUCUCCAACAUUGCAGCAGCAAGAACAGGCAGUGGCAGUUCGAGGCUGCGACAACGCUAACGGAAAUUUCUAACUAUCUGGAAUCAAACGCGACAGAGAGAGAAGAAGAAGCAGCUGUGUUUCUUUGUCAUAGAUUUUUUUUUUUUUUUGUUUUUAAAGAAGAAGAAUGAAAUCCAAUUAUUUGAAGAAUCAAUAUUCCAAAGUUAACUGAGGUAACAACAAAACCUUUCAUUGUACUAUCAAGAACAACAGAAUGAAAAUGUAUGGAGUAUUAUUCAA